CAUCGGCCCUAGGGGUGCCGGUUAACCGGCUGAGAGGGACAUGACGUCCCGACCCUCGGAACCUGAUUCGGUUAACACCGACGGAGGAAAGCGGCACGAUUUAUCC
rnacentral:ncRNA from 2 species